rnacentral:rRNA from 1 species
CUGGACCUUGCGGCGAGUAGCAUGCCUGGAGAUCUUAGCCAGUGGAUAAUGAAGCAUUACGAUCCGAAGAUUUCGUAGAUAGUCAUUCCAGAAAGGGGGAAGAUUCCUGUAGAUGCCGCUAGUGUCCGUAGGAUAUGGGGUUUGCCCAACAGGGGCAGGAAGGUGUGCUUCGAGAAUCGGCCUGAAAUCACAAAGGCAAUGUACAGUAUUUACAACAUCACAUCGAAGAACUCCCCAACCCUGACAGAAUGGUGCAAGAUGAUAGUAGACAUGGGAGGAUCUCAUGAUGAUGACUUUGUCCGCGCUUGGCUAGCUCUUGUUUUUCGUGCUUCCUUGCCCCUUCAACUAGUUUGA